rnacentral:rRNA from 1 species
AAUAUGGGACAAUGGGCGAAAGCCUGAUCCAGCCAUGCCGCGUGUGGGAAGAAGGUCNNNGGUUUNUCAAGCACUUUUGGCGGNGAGNAAGGGCAGUAAGCUAAUACGUGGAUGUUUUGACGUUACCGACAGAAUAAGCACCGGCUAACUCUGUGCCAGCAGCCGAGGUAAUACAGAGGGUGCAAGCGUUAAUCGGAAUUAAUGGGCGUAAAGCGCGCGUAGGGGGUUUGUUAAGUUGGAAGUGAAAGCCCCGGGCUAAACCUGGGAAAUGCUUUUAAAACUGGCAAGCUAGGGUAUGGCAGGGGGUGGUGGAAUUUCCUGGUUAGCGGUGAAAUGGGUAGAUAUAGGAAGGAACACCAGUGGGGAAGGCGACCCCCUGGGCUAAUACGGACACUGAAGUGCGAAAGCGUGGGGAGCAAAC